AUAUUGCACAAUGGGCGAAAGCCUGAUGCAGCAACGCCACGUGUGGGUUGUCUGCAUUCGGGUUGAAAACCACUUUUAGUAGGGAAGAAGCGAAAGUGACGGUACCUGCAGAAAAAGCACCGGCUAACUACGUGCCAGCAGCCGCGGUAAUACGUAGGGUGCAAGCGUUGUCGGGAAUUAUUGGGCGUAAAGAGCUCGAAGGCGGCUUUUCACCUCUGCUGUGAGAUCCCGGGGCUCACCCUCGGGCCUGCAGGGCGUACGGGCAGGCUAGAGUGCGGUAGGGGAGAUUGGAAUUCCUGGUGUAGCGGUGGAAUGCGCAGAUAUCAGGAGGAACACCGAUGGCGAAGGCAGAUCUCUGGGCCACUACCGACGCUGAGGAGCGAAAGCAUGGGGAGCGAACA
rnacentral:rRNA from 1 species